UUGAAGUAUUCCACAGUUUUCCCAGUGAAGUUGUAGUCGUCCACCCACUUGAGACGGUUGUACUGGGACGACUGGGGGUGGAAGACUCCAGUCGUUCCGAACCUGACUUUCAU